rnacentral:rRNA from 1 species
UACGUAGGGUGCAAGCGUUAAUCGGAAUUACUGGGCGUAAAGCGUGCGCAGGCGGUUUUGUAAGACGGAUGUGAAAUCCCCGGGCUUAACCUGGGAACUGCAUUCGUGACUGCAAGGCUAGAGUAUGGCAGAGGGGGGUAGAAUUCCACGUGUAGCAGUGAAAUGCGUAGAGAUGUGGAGGAAUACCGAUGGCGAAGGCAGCCCCCUGGGCCAAUACUGACGCUCAUGCACGAAAGCGUGGGGAGCAAACAGG